UAAGACAGAGGUGCCAAGCGUUAGGCGGAAUCACUGGGCUUAAAGCGUGUGUAGGCGGAAUGGUAAGUACCUUGUGAAAUCCCACGGCUCAACCGUGGAACUGCUUGGUAUACUGCUUUUCUUGAGCCACUUAGGGGCUACCGGAACAAAUGGUGGAGCGGUGAAAUGCGUAGAUAUCAUUUGGAACGCCAAUGGUGAAAACAGGUAGCUGGGAGUGUGCUGACGCUGAGACACGAAAGCCAGGGGAGCGAACGGGAUUAGAUACCCCGGUAGUCCUGGCCGUAAACGAUGUCGACUAGAUCGUGGUGGCUCUGACGCCUUCACGGUCGAAGCAAAAGUGCUAAGUCGACCGCCUGGGAAGUACGGUCGCAAGGCUA
rnacentral:rRNA from 1 species